rnacentral:rRNA from 1 species
CCUACGGGAGGCAGCAGUGAGGAAUAUUGGUCAAUGGACGAGAGUCUGAACCAGCCAAGUAGCGUGAAGGAUGACUGCCCUAUGGGUUGUAAACUUCUUUUAUAUGGGAAUAAAAUGUUCCACGUGUGGGAUUUUGUAUGUACCAUAUGAAUAAGGAUCGGCUAACUCCGUGCCAGCAGCCGCGGUAAUACGGAGGAUCCGAGCGUUAUCCGGCUUUAUUGGGUUUAAAGGGAGCGUAGGUGGAUUGUUAAGUCAGUUGUGAAAGUUUGCGGCUCAACCGUAAAAUUGCAGUUGAAACUGGCAGUCUUGAGUACAGUAGAGGUGGGCGGAAUUCGUGGUGUAGCGGUGAAAUGCUUAGAUAUCACGAAGAACUCCGAUUGCGAAGGCAGUUCACUGGACUGCAACUGACACUGAGGCUCGAAAGUGUGGGUAUCAAACAGGAUUAGAUACCCGUGUAGUC